GAUGAACGCUGGCGGCGUGCUUAACACAUGCAAGUCGAACGGACUGAGGGAGCUUGCUCCCAAAGUUAGUGGCGGACGGGUGAGUAACGCGUGGGUAACCUGCCCUAUGCAGGGGGAUAACGUUUGGAAACGAACGCUAAUACCGCAUAACCUAGUUGGUUCGCAUGAACUGAUUAGCAAAGAUUUAUCGGCAUAGGAUGGACCCGCGUUGGAUUAGCUAGUUGGUGAGAUAAAAGCUCACCAAGGCGACGAUCCAUAGCCGGCCUGAGAGGGUGAACGGCCACACUGGGACUGAGACACGGCCCAGACUCCUACGGGAGGCAGCAGUGGGGAAUAUUGCACAAUGGGCGCAAGCCUGAUGCAGCGACGCCGCGUGAAGGAUGAAGGUUUUCGGAUCGUAAACUUCUAUCAGCAGGGAAGAAACCAAUGACGGUACCUGACUAAGAAGCCCCGGCUAACUACGUGCCAGCAGCCGCGGUAAUACGUAGGGGGCAAGCGUUAUCCGGAUUUACUGGGUGUAAAGGGUGCGUAGGUGGCAUGGCAAGUCANAUGUGAAAGGCUACGGCUCAACCGUAGUAAGCCUUUGAAACUGAGAAACUUGAGUGCAGGANAGGAGAGUAGAAUUCCUAGUGUAGCGGUGAAAUG
rnacentral:rRNA from 1 species